CAGUCGCCGCGGUAAUACGUAGGGUCCGAGCGUUGUCCGGAAUUACUGGGCGUAAAGAGCUCGUAGGUGGUUUGUCGCGUUGUUCGUGAAAACUCACAACUCAAUUGUGGGCGUGCGGGCGAUACGGGCAGACUGGAGUACUGCAGGGGAGACUGGAAUUCCUGGUGUAGCGGUGGAAUGCGCAGAUAUCAGGAGGAACACCGGUGGCGAAGGCGGGUCUCUGGGCAGUAACUGACGCUGAGGAGCGAAAGCGUGGGGAGCGAACAGGAUUAGAUACCCCCGUAGUCCCUGUCUCUUAUAA
rnacentral:rRNA from 1 species